AACUUUUGGCAACGGAUCUCUUGGCUCUCCUAUCGAUGAAGAACGCAGCGAAAUGCGAUAAGUAAUGUGAAUUGCAGAGUUCAGUGAAUCAUCGAAUCUUUGAACGCACCUUGCGCCCGUUGGUAUUCCGAGGGGCACACCCGUUUGAGUGUCGUGACAUUCUCAAAACCUUCUCGGUUUCUCGCCCGGGAAGGCUUUGGACUUUGGAGGCUUUUGCUGGCAUUCCUUUGUUGGAGCCUGCUCACGUGAGAGGGAUAAGUAGGGUCUGUUUUCCCGAUCAUUGACGUGAUAAGAUGCAUUCUACGUCCUGGGAUUUAGCACACCUCCUCCUAACCCUCUCACAGUAGACAAACGCGCCACUCGACCCACAAACCUUGACCUCAAAUCGGGUGACACUACCCGCUGAACUUCAGCAUAUCAAUAAGCGGAGGCU
rnacentral:misc_RNA from 1 species